CCUCCAUCCCUUUAUUCUAUGAACAUUCAAUCGCUUGCUUUUCUUUUCACGCACAACUGAAAUUUCUGCUCCAUUUCUGAUCUUUCGAUCGAUUUCUCUCAAGAUGAAAUGGAUCCGAACGAAAUUAAAAUGAGGCUAAACAACUGCGCGGGGAUUCUGAGCAAAACUGUAGAAGAGGUUGAUACUCUUAAACAGCAACUCCAGGAGCUUAUUACGUUGAAUAUGGACCGAGGUGGCACCAGCCAAGGCGGAGUGACUGGCAACUCAUCUCCUGCAAGAUCUACUAGUCCGUGCAUUGUUUCAUUUUGGGAGGAAAAGCCAAAGUCCUUGUGCUUAAUGCAGCGAAAGCUACUUGUCAGAAGCAAUUUGUUGCAUAGAAGAUAUGAACUUACAUAAAGGAGGAGGAGAAUAAAGCCCCAAGUCAAGAGUUGCAAAAAAACUUCCAAUGGCACAAAGAUAAGAAAGAUGGUAAAUACAGUGCUUGUCGAGAAUUGUGGCUUGAAGAAAUUAGAGUUCUUUGAGGAAAAAAUAGAGAUGUAAAAGAUUCUAGAUUUAUUUUUCUUUCCUUGAUUCUUUCCUUUAAUAUUAAUUGAUCAAGAGUUAAGAGUCUUGCGGUAAUUUCUUCGGCUUCUGUACUAGGAGGGUGCCCUAUAUUUUCUCGAUGAAACGUUCUUAAUCCAGAAAAUUAAGAUGACAAUAUUAAAAUAUAUAAAACCUAAAC